rnacentral:rRNA from 1 species
CGGCGAGUGAAGAGGGAAAAGCUCAAAUUUUGAAUCUGGUGUCUUUGGCGCCCGAGUUGUAAUCUAGAGAAGUGUUUUCCGCACCGGACCGUGCACAAGUUCCCUGGAACGGGGCGUCAUAGAGGGUGAGAAUCCCGUAUAUGGCACGGACUACCGGCGCUCUGCGAUACACUCUCAACGAGUCGAGUUGUUUGGGAAUGCAGCUCAAAAUGGGUGGUAAAUUCCAUCUAAAGCUAAAUAUUGGCGAGAGACCGAUAGCGAACAAGUACCGUGAGGGAAAGAUGAAAAGCACUUUGGAAAGAGAGUGAAACAGUACGUGAAAUUGUUGAAAGGGAAGCGUUUGAAGUCAGUCGCGUCUGGCGGGAUUCAGCCUGGCUUCUGCCUGGUGUACUUCCCGUCCGACGGGUCAGCAUCGGUUUCGACCGAGAGAAAAAGGCUUGGGGAAUGUGGCCGUCCUCGGGCGGUGUUAUAGCCCCUUGUUGUAUGUCUCGGUUGGGACCGAGGACCGCAGCGCGCCUUACGGCCGGGGAUCGCUCCCUCGGUACGCGCUUAGGAUGCUGGCAUAAUGGCUUUAAGCGACCCGUCUUGAAACACGGACCAAGGAGUCUAACAUGUGCGCGAGUGUUUGGGUGUCAAACCCGAGCGCGUAAUGAAAGUGAACGGUCGGGAUCACGUACGUGUGCACCGACGCCCGGAGCAGACCUUCUGUGACG